UACGGAGGGGGCUAGCGUUGUUCGGAAUUACUGGGCGUAAAGCGCUCGUAGGCGGCUUUGUAAGUUAGAGGUGAAAGCCCGGGGCUCAACCCCGGAAUUGCCUUUAAGACUGCAUCGCUUGAACGUCGGAGAGGUGAGUGGAAUUCCGAGUGUAGAGGUGAAAUUCGUAGAUAUUCGGAAGAACACCAGUGGCGAAGGCGGCUCACUGGACGACUGUUGACGCUGAGGUGCGAAAGCGUGGGGAGCAAACAGG
rnacentral:rRNA from 1 species